UCGCCAUUGGAUGGGCCCGCGUCGGAUUAGCUAGUUGGUGGGGUAAUGGCUCACCAAGGCGACGAUCCGUAGCUGGUCUGAGAGGAUGAUCAGCCACACUGGGACUGAGACACGGCCCAG
rnacentral:rRNA from 1 species